CCGUCAAUUCAUUUGAGUUUUAGCCUUGCGGCCGUACUCCCCAGGCGGGGUGCUUAAUGCGUUAGCUUCGGCACGGACGGAGUCGACACCGCCCACACCUAGCACCCAUCGUUUACGGCGUGGACUACCAGGGUAUCUAAUCCUGUUCGCUCCCCACGCUUUCGCGUCUCAGCGUCAGUACCGUCCCAGAGAGCCGCCUUCGCCACGGGUGUUCUUCCUGAUAUCUGCGCAUUUCACCGCUACACCAGGAAUUCCACUCUCCUCUUCCGGACUCUAGCCAGAUGGUUUCCGCCGACAUCUCGAGGUUGAGCCUCGAGUUUUCACAGCAGACCUACCUGGCCGCCUACACGCUCUUUACGCCCAAUAAAUCCGGACAACGCUUGCCCCCUACGUAUUACCG
rnacentral:misc_RNA from 1 species